rnacentral:tRNA from 5 species
CUUUACCUCUAUUCUGUAUAUUAAUAAUAUUCUUUAUAGGUUCUGUGGCAGAGAC